rnacentral:rRNA from 1 species
UACAGAGGGUGCGAGCGUUAAUCGGAAUUACUGGGCGUAAAGCGCACGUAGGUGGCGACGUAUGUCGGGUGUGAAAGCCCCGGGCUCAACCUGGGAAUUGCAUCCGAAACUGCGUUGCUGGAGUACGGAAGAGGAAGGCGGAAUUCCCGGUGUAGCGGUGAAAUGCGUAGAUAUUCGCAAGAACACCAGUGGCGAAGGCGGCUCACUGGCCCGGUACUGACGCUGAGGUGCGAAAGCGUGGGGAGCAAACAGG